CAGCAGCCGCGGGAAUACGGAGGGUGCAAGCGUUAAUCGGAAUUACUGGGCGUAAAGCGCACGCAGGCGGUCUGUCAAGUCAGAUGUGAAAUCCCCGGGCUUAACCUGGGAACUGCAUUUGAAACUGGCAGGCUAGAGUCUUGUAGAGGGGGGUAGAAUUCCAGGUGUAGCGGUGAAAUGCGUAGAGAUCUGGAGGAAUACCGGUGGCGAAGGCGGCCCCCUGGACAAAGACUGACGCUCAGGUGCGAAAGCGUGGGGAGCAAACAGGAUUAGAUACCCGCGUAGUCCCUGUCUCUUAUAA
rnacentral:rRNA from 1 species